rnacentral:rRNA from 1 species
UACGGAGGGUGCAAGCGUUGUCCGGAUUUAUUGGGUUUAAAGGGUGCGUAGGCGGCCCUGUAAGUCAGUGGUGAAAAUACUGCAGCUUAAACUGUAGCAUUGCCAUUGAUACUGUAGGGCUUGAGUACAGAUGAGGUAGGCGGAAUUGAUGGUGUAGCGGUGAAAUGCAUAGAUACCAUCAAGAACACCGAUUGCGAAGGCAGCUUACUAAGCUGUAACUGACGCUGGAGGCACGAAAGCGUGGGGAUCGAACAGG